rnacentral:lncRNA from 1 species
GGGACCAAAUUGAAUAAAUUACAAAACUUGGGUUCUAGAAGAAAGUUGCAUGAAAUUGCUUUGAAUUACAAAUUAGAAGGUCUUAAAUAGUAAUUUUCCCAAUUUUUAAGUUUUUGGACAAAAAUGGCCAUGCAUAGAAAAAUUUGGAAGUUUUGUAAGGAGGGGCAUUUUGGUCAUUUGGUAAUAAACAUAAUAAAAAGGGAAAAAGAAAGCCAAAAUCAGCCAUAUUCUUCCCCAUAGCUGCUAAAAUUCCUAGAGCUCCAUAAGCUAGGGUUUUCAACAUUUCAAGCUCAAUAGUAAGUUCUCCCUAGCCCC